GUAGUCCUACGGGGCGCAGCAGUAGGGAAUCUUCCACAAUGGGCGCAAGCCUGAUGGAGCAACACCGCGUGAGUGAAGAAGGGUUUCGGCUCGUAAAGCUCUGUUGUUGGAGAAGAACGUGCGUGAGAGUAACUGUUCACGCAGUGACGGUAUCCAACCCGAAAGUCACGGCUAACUACGUGGCAGCAGCCGCGGUAAUACGUAGGUGGCAAGCGUUAUCCGGAUUUAUUGGGCGUAAAGCGAGCGC
rnacentral:rRNA from 1 species